ACUCCCAUGCAAAGCACCCCAUAUGUCCAUGUUUGUAGCCAACACUUUCAGCCAGAGGAUUUUGAAACGUACCUGAAGUCUCAACUAAUGUGGUUGCCAGGUCGUUGAACGUUAAAAAGUGAAGCUAUUCCAUCGAUUUUCCCCUUCACUUCAAACAGGAAGGAAUCCGACCAGCCAACAUUAGCGUAGCAAAAAAUAAGUCGAGCAGAGGCCACCUGGAGGCAUUGCACAGUGCUCUCCUGAAGUACAACUCAAACUGGCAGCAUUUUGGGCUCCUGGGCAUGAACACAUCUUGUUAUCCCGGAUUAUAAUGAGAAUGUGGGACGCAAACAAGCCCGGACAGCCAAAGGAGACUUGCAGUACAAACAAAUCUUCUGCAAGAGGGCGAAGCAGUAGGUGGCGAAAAAAAAUGUAUGAGGUGUUCUUAAUGUUUUGUACAUUCAGUGUAUUAUAUUUUAUAGAAUGUUAUAUAAUCUUUUUUACAAGUGUACUGACAAGUGA